rnacentral:lncRNA from 1 species
CAUGAUAACAACUAAAUUUUCCUUUAUUGUGUCCUUUAGAAUCUCUACUUUUACUUCUACCUUUAUUCUCCAUGACAAGGACUUAUGAGAUAUUAAUGCCCAUAUCUUUUCUUCUAAUAUAUUCAUUGUACAGACUAUCUAUUACCAUAUAUAAAGACAAAAUACCGCUUGCAGCAUAAUUGCUAAGAGACACCACCAAGAUCUCCAAACCGUCUGGCAAGGAACUUAAGAGCAAAAAGGCCUGCAAUUAAUCAUCUAGAGCUAUUUUCGUUAUAUUCAACUCAUUUACCAACUCUUGAAAU